CGAAGUAGAGCACCAGAUAAAAGAGUGUCUACGCCAUGCGAGGGACAGGGCAGAAAGAGCAAGUGUUCCUAGAAGGGUCCAGGCACAAUCAACAGCAUGAAUGCAGAUCUCUCCCAAGUUUUAAGUGUGCUCGGUGGCCCACUAUGUCUCACGCCACAAGAGUUUGUUUUAGUUGUGUUUUUUUCGUUUCUGCUGCUUAAUGCGAAAGUUCUUGAGAGUGCUCGAGGCAUAUGCUGUAUAUCGGGGUCCAGCGCUAUUUUUUUUUUCUUCGGUCAACUUAAGAAAGUUUUGAAACGUGCUCCAGCCUCACAUUGUCUUACCGGUUUCAUAUUUGUACUGCUCAGCCUGAGAAAAGUUCUUAAGGGUGCUCGAGGCAUAUGUUUUUUAUCCGAGUCCAGCGCUAUCCAUUUUCACGUUCAUACGAAAGUUUUGAAAGGUGCACCAGCCUCACGUUGUCUGUUUCAUGGUCAUAUUACUGAGACUGAGAAAG